UAUCGUUUAAAGUAUCCUUUCUCGGAGAGAGCUGAGACAUUCUCCAGUUGUCAGUUUGCGCGUGGAGGCUCGACACUAUUGAAGGGUUAGGAAUUUGUUGUGGACCACAUCUGUUGACUAAUUUCCAAGAGGAGGAUAUGCCUUGUACUUAAUGACAUUG